rnacentral:lncRNA from 1 species
AAAAUUGAUGUUACAUCAUAAUUAAAGCUUUAUGAAGUUAUUAAAUAGCUAUAGUCUCCUUAGAAAGCUUUUUUAAUUCUUCUUCAAAAAGUUAAAAUGUACCAAGCCUUCAUUGAUGGUAAACGCUGGUCUCAACUUUUGUUUUAUAUAUUAAAAUGGCAAGCUUUAAAAAAUUUACAACGGAACUACUGAAUAACAAGUUUGUGUCCAAAGUACAUUGAUACCCCACUUGCACUAUCAUUUUCUUUGUUCAGUGGACCAUGAAAUCUAGGUCAAAACUCUAAUUUGGCAUUAUUAUUAAAAAGAUCAUAUCAUAGAGAACAAGCCUCAGGUUUUAAAUAAAAAAAUUAACUGUCUAGAGUGGAUAGUUAUCGUAUCAUACUCAAUACAGUGGUAGAAUCUAUAUGCAUACAUUUGCA